rnacentral:rRNA from 1 species
GACGAACGCUGGCGGCGUGCUUAACACAUGCAAGUCGAACGGAAAGGCCCUGCUCUUGUUGGGUUCUCGAGUGGCGAACGGGUGAGUAACACGUGAGUAACCUGCCCUUGACUGUGUGAUAACUUCAGGAAACUGGGGCUAAUACCGGAUAGGAUCUCCUGCUGCAUGGUGUGGGUUGGAAAGUUUCGGCGGUUGGGGAUCGACUCGCGGCUUAUCAGCUUGUUGGUGGGGUAGUUGUUGACCAAGGCUUUGAAGGGUAGCCGGCCUGAGAGGGUGAACGGCGACCUUGGGACUACGAGACGGACCAGUAUCCAAUGGGAGGCAGCAGUGGGGAAUAUUGCACAAUGGGCGGACGCCUGAUGCAGAAACGCCGCGUGCGGGAUGACGGCCUUCGGGUUGUAAACCGCUUUCGACUGUGACGAAGCGUGCGUGACGGUAAUGGGUAAAGAAGCACCGGCUAACUACGUG